rnacentral:rRNA from 1 species
CCGCGUGCAGGAAGACUGCCCUAUGGGUUGUAAACUGCUUUUAUACAGGAAGAAACACUAGUACGUGUACUAGCUUGACGGUACUGUAAGAAUAAGGACCGGCUAACUCCGUGCCAGCAGCCGCGGUAAU